GAAGCGGUGUUGUUUCUGUUUCACUGUGGAGGAUCACCGAGGAAGAAGGGUGGCAAUUCAAGAACACUGCGAUAUUAAAUACAAAAGCUUAUCGAUGUGUUUCUGAACAAAGGACCCGACGACGUACGGCUUCUACUCUGUUCAGAAGUCGUUGUGUAUUUUAGCAUUUUUAAUGGCUCCUCCAAGAAAGAAUGCAUUACCCAAACCACUCCCAGAUGGCUUCAUACUGACAGACACCGAGAAGAAGAAAUGGAAGCUGGGGACAAUCAUCGGUCAAGGUGGAUUUGGACUGAUCUAUCUUGCCUCACAGGACAUAGACAGACCUGUUGCAAUGGACACUGACUUUGUCAUAAAAGUGG